UUUCAUUGUUAACAGCUUGUCACUUUUCAAGACACCAGUUAUCAUCAGUGUUAUACUUUUUAUUUGUGACAACUACUGGCCUGCUUGCUUUUUAGUGAUGGAACCAAUGAAUAUUCCAAUAUCUCAUGAAAAACUUUUACAACUUGUUGACUGGGAUUUUUCAGUAAAACAAAUGGCAAAAUGGUUUGGUGUGUCCCGCUGGACAAUACUCAGAAAACUAAAGCAAUUCAAAAUUUCUCGAAAGAAAUUUUCUAAUAUUGAUGAUUGUGACCUCAUGCAAGUCAUAGCAAAUGUCUUGGCUGAUAAACCAAAUAUGGGAGGAGAUGUAUAUCUGAGACACCACCUCAAAACAAAUGUAGGUGUCUUUGUCCAACGAUGGCGUAUAAGAAAAUGUGUUCAUGAAAUCUUUGGAUCCCAGCCAAGAGCCAAGAAUACAAUCAAGAGAAGACGUUAUCAAGUGCGAGCUCCGUUGUCUAUGGUACAUUUGGACACUCAUCAUAAACUCAUUAGAUGGAGGUUUGUUGUUGUUGGAGCAGUUGACGGGUUUUCUCGAAAAAUAUUUUGUAUGAAGUUAGACACCAAUAAUAAAGCUAAAACGGUCUUGAAGCAUUUUCUAACCGGUGUCAAAGAACUUGGUCUGCCAUCACG